rnacentral:rRNA from 1 species
UACAGAGGGGGCAAGCGUUGUUCGGAAUUACUGGGCGUAAAGGGCGCGUAGGCGGCCCGCUAAGUCGAACGUGAAAUCCCCAGGCUCAACCUGGGAACUGCGUCCGAUACUGGCAGGCUUGAAUCCGGGAGAGGGAUGUGGAAUUCCAGGUGUAGCGGUGAAAUGCGUAGAUAUCUGGAGGAAUACCGGUGGCGAAGGCGGCAUCCUGGACCGGCAUUGACGCUGAGGAGCGAAAGCCAGGGGAGCAAACGGG